rnacentral:rRNA from 1 species
AACGAACGCUGGCGGCAGGCCUAACACAUGCAAGUCGAGCGCCCCGCAAGGGGAGCGGCGGACGGGUGAGUAACGCGUGGGAAUAUGCCCUUUGCUACGGAAUAGUCUCGGGAAACUGGGGGUAAUACCGUAUACGCCCUUUGGGGGAAAGAUUUAUCGGCGAAGGAUUAGCCCGCGUUGGAUUAGGUAGUUGGUGGGGUAAUGGCCUACCAAGCCGACGAUCCAUAGCUGGUUUGAGAGGAUGAUCAGCCACACUGAGACUGAGACACGGCCCAGACUCCUACGGGAGGCAGCAGUGGGGAAUCUUAGACAAUGGGGGCAACCCUGAUCUAGCCAUGCCGCGUGAGUGAUGAAGGCCUUAGGGUUGUAAAGCUCUUUCAGCUGGGAAGAUAAUGACGGUACCAGCAGAAGAAGCCCCGGCUAACUCCGUG